rnacentral:rRNA from 1 species
AUACGAAGGUGGAAAGCGUUGUCCGGAAUUAUUGGGCGUAAAGCGCAUGUAGGCGGUAAUUUAAGUCUGUCGUGAAACUGCGUGGCUCAGCCCCGCAUGGCGUGGGAAACCCGGUUACUUGGGCGCAGGAGUGGAAAGGGGAACUCCCAGUGGAGCGUUGAAAUGCGAAGAUAUUGGGAAGUACACCGGUGGCGAAGGUGCUUUUCAGGACUGUAUCUGACGAUGUGAUGCGACAGCCAGGGUAGCGAACGGGCUUAGAUUCCCCGGUAGUCCUGGCCGUAUAGGAUGGGUAUUAGGUGUGGGAGGUAUCGCCCCCGUCCGCGCCGGAGUUAACGAAAUAAGUGCCCCGCCUGGGGAGUACGGCCGCAAGGCUUAAACUCAAAGGAAUUGACGGGG